AUGCUUUACCUUCUUAACAACACUAUCAACAAGGCAGGUCCUACAGGUCCUAGUUUCUACCUUCUUAACAUCACCAUCAACAAGGCAGGUCCUACAGGCUCUAGUUUCUACCUUCUUAACAACACUAUCAACAAGGCAGGUCCUACAGGUCCUAGUUUCUACCUUCUUAACAUCACCAUCAACAAGGCAGGUCCUACAGGCUCUAGUUUCUACCUUCUUAACAACACUAUCAACAAGGCAGGUCCUACAGGCCCUAGUUUCUACCUUCUUAACAGCACUAUCAACAAGGCAGGUCCUACAUGCCCUAGUUUCUACCUUCUUAACAACACUAUCAACAAGGCAGGUCCUACAGGCCCUAGUUUCUACCUUCUUAACAACACUAUCAACAAGGCAGGUCCUACAGGCCCUAGUUUCUACCUUCUUAACAACACUAUCAACAAGGCAGGUCCUACAGGCCCUAGUUUCUACCUUCUUAACAGCACUAUCAACAAGGCAGGUCCUAGUUUCUACCUUCUUAACAGCCCUAUCAACAAGGCAGGUCCUACAGGUCCUAGUUUCUACCUUCUUAACAGCACUAUCAACAAGGCAGGUCCUACAGGCCCUAGUUUCUACCUUCUUAACAACACUAUCAACAAGGCAGGUCCUACAGGCUCUAGUUUCUACCUUCUUAACAGCACUAUCAACAAGGCAGGUCCUACAGGCCCUAGUUUCUACCUUCUUAACAACACUAUCAACAAGGCAGGUCCUACAGGCCCUAGUUUCUACCUUCUUAACAACACUAUCAACAAGGCAGGUCCUACAGGCCCUAGUUUCUACCUUCUUAACAACACUAUCAACAAGGCAGGUCCUACAGGCCCUAGUUUCUACCUUCUUAACAACACUAUCAACAAGGCAGGUCCUACAGGCCCUAGUUUCUACCUUCUUAACAACACUAUCAACAAGGCAGGUCCUACAGGCCCUAGUUUCUACCUUCUUAACAACACUAUCAACAAGGCAGGUCCUACAGGCCCUAGUUUCUACCUUCUUAACAACACUAUCAACAAGGCAGGUCCUACAGGCCCUAGUUUCUACCUUCUUAACAGCACUAUCAACAAGGCAGGUCCUAGUUUCUACCUUCUUAACAGCCCUAUCAACAAGGCAGGUCCUACAGGUCCUAGUUUCUACCUUCUUAACAGCACUAUCAACAAGGCAGGUCCUACAGGCCCUAGUUUCUACCUUCUUAACAACACUAUCAACAAGGCAGGUCCUACAGGCUCUAGUUUCUACCUUCUUAACAGCACUAUCAACAAGGCAGGUCCUACAGGCCCUAGUUUCUACCUUCUUAACAACACUAUCAACAAGGCAGGUCCUACAGGCCCUAGUUUCUACCUUCUUAACAACACUAUCAACAAGGCAGGUCCUACAGGCCCUAGUUUCUACCUUCUUAACAACACUAUCAACAAGGCAGGUCCUACAGGCCCUAGUUUCUACCUUCUUAACAACACUAUCAACAAGGCAGGUCCUACAGGCCCUAGUUUCUACCUUCUUAACAACACUAUCAACAAGGCAGGUCCUACAGGCUCUAGUUUCUACCUUCUUAACAGCACUAUCAACAAGGCAGGUCCUACAGGCCCUAGUUUCUACCUUCUUAACAACACUAUCAACAAGGCAGGUCCUACAGGCCCUAGUUGUGUCGCACCUGGACUACAGGGGUCCCAAGCUUGUAGCGUCAUACCAAAGAAGACUCGAGGCUGUAAUCGCUGA
ensembl:lncRNA